GCGGGAGUAGCUCAGCGGUAGAGCGCCUGCUUCCCAAGCAGGAUGUCGCGGGUCCAAAUCCCGUCUCCCGCU
rnacentral:tRNA from 1 species